rnacentral:rRNA from 1 species
GAUGAACGCUAGCGGAAGGCUUAAUACAUGCAAGUCGAGCGGUAGGUGGCUUCGGCCAUUGAGAGCGGCGCACGGGUGAGUAACGCGUACAUGACCUGCCUGUCAGAAGGGGAUAGCCCUGGGAAACUGGGAUUAAUACCCUAUGGUAUUGAUAUUAUGAAUGAUAUCAAUUAAAGUUGAGGCGCUGACAGAUGGAUGUGCGUCUGAUUAGCUAGUUGGUAGGGUAACGGCCUACCAAGGCGACGAUCAGUAGGGGGCGUGAGAGCGUGGUCCCCCACACGGGUACUGAGACACGGACCCGACUCCUACGGGAGGCAGCAGUAAGGAAUAUUGGUCAAUGCCCGCAAGGGUGAACCAGCCAUUCCGCGUGGAGGAUGAAGGCCCUAUGGGUUGUAAACUUCUUUUAGAUGGGAAGAAAUGCUAGAUGUAUCUGGUACUGACGGUACCAUCAGAAUAAGCACCGGCUAACUCCGUAGCCAGCAGCCGCGGU